rnacentral:tRNA from 1 species
GGCCCAUUAGUGUAGAGGCUUAUCACGCCACCCUGUCACGGUGGAGAUCACGGGUUCGAAUCCCGUAUGGGUCG